UGGGGAAUUUUGGACAAUGGGCGAAAGCCUGAUCCAGCAAUGCCGCGUGUGUGAAGAAGGCCUUCGGGUUGUAAAGCACUUUUGUCCGGAAAGAAAUCCUUGGCUCUAGUACAGUCGGGGGAUGACGGUACCGGAAGAAUAAGCACCGGCUAACUACGUGCCAGCAGCCGCGGUAAUACGUAGGGUGCAAGCGUUAAUCGGAAUUACUGGGCGUAAAGCGUGCGCAGGCGGUUUGCUAAGACCGAUGUGAAAUCCCCGGGCUCAACCUGGGAACUGCAUUGGUGACUGGCAGGCUAGAGUAUGGCAGAGGGGGGUAGAAUUCCACGUGUAGCAGUGAAAUGCGUAGAGAUGUGGAGGAAUACCGAUGGCGAAGGCAGCCCCCUGGGCCAAUACUGACGCUCAUGCACGAAAGCGUGGGGAGCAAACAGGAUUAGAUACCCUGGUAGUCCACGCCCUAAACGAUGUCAACUAGUUGUUGGGGACUUCAUUUCCUUAGUAACGUAGCUAACGCGUGAAGUUGACCGCCUGGGGAGUACGGUCGCAAGAUUAAAACUCAAAUGAAUUGACGGGGUCAUA
rnacentral:rRNA from 1 species